AUUGAGCGCCGCAUGCACCGUCCAUCCUUUCACUGUAACUGCUGCGUGUUCUUGGCGCCUUAGGGUCUACGGUUCCCUUUUUGUACAUUUUAGUACUGAAAUGAACUGAGCGACGCUUUACUCCUUUCUUUGCGUCCAAACAUCCAUUGCUCAAUUUAACAAAUUUUCUCUUAGAUUUCAUGCUUCUGCUUUACAGUUAUUAUUUCUCUGAUGACUAAUGAUUCUCUGCCCCGUAUGAUCGCCGCUACUUCGCUGCUUCUAUCCCCGAAACAAAUCGCGGUUUUCAACUCUGGUCAUCACUAUUCCGGUAGUUUGUUCUGUUCUAUUCCUUUAGGAUUUGUCUCAAAUUUGGGUUUUGGAGGGGAGCGUGCUCUGUCGACGGUGGGGGGUCCCAGGAUGAUGGGGUACUUGCGGAGAAUUGGUGGCGGCUGGUUCAAGGGGGGUAAUGGGAAAGCGCUGAAGAUUGAGGCUGACGGUGGCGGCGAGGACGUUUUUUAUGCGGCGGCUGCUAAGGCGAGGGAUCCGCCAGAUCAUAUCGUCAUCAUGAUAAAUGGGAUCGUAGGGAGUUCUGCAGAUUGGAAGUAUGCUGCAGAGCAAUUUGUGAAGAAACUUCCUGACAAAGUAAUUGUGCACCGCAGUGAAUGCAACUAUUCAAAAUUGACAUUUGAUGGUGUUGAUUUGAUGGGUGAAAGGCUAGCUAAAGAGGUAUUGGCCGUUGUCAAACAUAAGCCUGAGCUACGGAAGAUCUCCUUUGUGGCUCACUCAUUAGGUGGCCUUGUUGCGAGGUAUGCUAUUGCAAGGCUGUAUGAAAAUUUACCAAAAUUGGGUCUCUCAAGUCUUUCUGUGAAUUCCUUAAGUCAAGAACAUAUGAAUUCAGUGCAAUGCCCUGAGCAGCUUUAUGAAGCCAGAAUUGCUGGAUUGGAACCCACGAAUUUUAUAACAUUUGCAACUCCACAUCUUGGUUCAAGAGGAAAUAAACAGCUCCCAUUUCUCUGUGGUCUCCAUUUUCUUGAGAGAAGAGCAUCCCAGACUGCUCAUUUAAUUGUUGGAAGGACUGGAAAGCAUCUCUUUCUGACUGACAAUGAUGGUGGGAAACCUCCCCUCCUCCUUCAAAUGGUUAAUGACUCUGAUGACCUAAGAUUCAUAUCAGCUUUACGUGCUUUUAAGCGUCGUGUAGCAUAUGCAAAUGCAAAUUAUGAUCAUAUGGUCGGGUGGAGGACUUCGUCAAUUAGGCGUCAACAGGAACUUCCUAAGCCCAACCUUCUUGUGACAAAUCAGAAAUAUCCACAUAUUGUGUAUGUUGAGCAAGAAACAAUGAGCAACUGCCGUAAUAAAGAAUCUACUGCCAUUAGGGACCAAACAACUGAUUUGGAAGAGGAGAUGAUUAAAGGUCUCACUCAAGUACCAUGGGAACGUGUCGAUGUUAGCUUUCACAAAAGCAGACAGCGGUAUAUUGCUCAUAGUACCAUUCAGGGAUUUAUGACCACUUCCUUGUGCUCCCCGUUGGUGGAAAUCCAUUCCUUGAGACAAUAAUCCAAUGACUGUCUCUCUCUCCACAUCCAAUGAGUUUGGAUCUUCUGGCAGUGGUGGUAAGUGGUUGCCAUGGAGAAUAUUGCUGGAGGCGUGGUCAAUCAAAGAGAAUAUCUUCUGGGUUGAUGAAAAGCACGCUUGCAUUUAGGGAGCAAUCUGGGUUUAUUCAUCUAUGGGCUACCUGCGUUGAAGAAACAACUAGAAAAAUGAUCUAAAGAAAUUGAUCCUCAAUCAUCUCGCAAAUACAAGAAAGAAGAAGUGGGUUCUUGUGCAAGUUUAUAGUUUACAGAGAAAAUGGACGUAGUGGAAAUGGCAAUGCCAAAAGAGUAUGGAUAUGCGUCUCUUAUUCUUGUAGCCUAUGCCCAAUCUCUGGAUGGCUCAUUAGGUUGGCAAGGCCCGCAAGAAGUACAAGGUGAAGACAUACUGGUUAAAUUCUGAUGGUGCCGAUGUGGUUUUCCAUAUGAUAGAUAAUUUCCUUCUCUAGCUAUCCACUAGUUGUUCGCAUCCAGUUGGUGAUUUAACAUUGGAAUGGUUUGCUUCUGUUUUUGUGUAUCAUAUACAUGUCAUAUGUGAAUCCAUUGCAACACGUAUUUGAUGUCAAUGAUGAGAUACUGGGGAUGCUAUGGUGGUGGUCCAAUCUAUAUCCUUGUAUGUGGCUUGUUUGCUUACUUCAUGUAUAUUGGCAUUGCUUUUCAAAAGUUAUAAUUUCUCAUCUACCAAAUGAGAAGUCAUAUAGAGGUGAUUUUGUGCUUACUGCAUUGAGGUGAGCUUUA